AGUACAAUUGCUGAGUCAUAUGAUAAGACUGUUUAGUUUUGUAAGAAACUGCCAAACUGUCUUUCAAAGUGGCUGUACCAUUUUGAAUUCCCAUUAGCAAU
rnacentral:pre_miRNA from 1 species